AGGGGUAUAGUUCAGUUGGUAGAACGUCGGUCUCCAAAACCGGAUGUCGUGGGUUCGAGUCCUACUGCCCCUG
rnacentral:tRNA from 1 species